rnacentral:rRNA from 1 species
CCUACGGGCGGCAGCAGUGAGGAAUAUUGGUCAAUGGACGAGAGUCUGAACCAGCCAAGUAGCUUGAAGGAUGACUGCCCUAUUGGUUGUAAACUUCUUUUAUAUGGGAAUAAAACGUUCCACGUGUGGGAUUUUGUAUGUACCAUAUGAAUAAGGAUCGGCUAACUCCGUGCCAGCAGCCGCGGUAAUACGGAGGAUCCGAGCGUUAUCCGGAUUUAUUGGGUUUAAAGGGAGCGUAGGUGGAUUGUUAAGUCAGUUGUGAAAGUUUGCGUCUCAACCGUAAAAUUGCAGUUGAAACUGGCAGUCUUGAGUACAGUAGAGGUGGGCGGAAUUCGUGGUGUAGCGGUGAAAUGCUUAGAUAUCACGAAGAACUCCGAUUGCGAAGGCAGUUCACUGGACUGCAACUGACACUGAGGCUCGUAAGUGUGGGUAUCAAACAGGAUUAGAUACCCUUGUAGUC